UGAAGGCCAGGCUGAAGACUUUGCCGGAUUAGCUGAGAGGUGGUGCAUGGCCGUCGUCAGUUCGUACUGUGAAGCAUCCUGUUAAGUCAGGCAACGAGCCGAGACCCACGCCCACAGUUGCCAGCGUACUCUCUGGAGUGACGGGUACACUGUGGGGACCGCCGCUGCUAAAGCGGAGGAAGGAAUGGGCAACGGUAGGUCAGUAUGCCCCGAAUAUCCCGGGCUACACGCGAGCUACAAUGGUUGGUACAAUGGGUAUCUACCCCGAAAGGGGACGGGAAUCUCCUAAAACCAAUCUUAGUUCGGAUUGAGGGCUGCAACUCGCCCUCAUGAAGCUGGAAUCCGUAGUAAUCGCGUUUCAACAGAACGCGGUGAAUACGUCCCUGCUCCUU
rnacentral:rRNA from 1 species